AGGGAUCUGGAUUUACGGAGGAAGAUGGUUGGAGAGGGUUUCGCCGGUGAAGGCGUCGCGAAGGUUAGGGUGGAUCGGUGGUAGAUUUGGUGUUUGAUGAGGUUAACGGCUGAGGGUUUGAAGAUGAGUGGUGGGGCGGAGGGUUUGUUGAUGGUCGAUGAAGGGAGAAAGGCGUGCGGUGGUUGCGUGUGGGUUUGUGGUAGCGGAAGAAAGAUGAAGGCGUGGAAGGUUGGAGCGAGCGGAUUCUGUUCAGUGAUUGUGAGAGAGGGAAGAGUGGGUAGUGUGAGGGAGAAAACGUGAGUGGAUGGCGGUAGGUGUGGAGAAGGAGGAAGAGAGUGGGUUUUCGUUGGAGGGAGUAGAGAUUUUGUGGAUUUCGUCCAACCCCUCAAAAUAAGUGGAUAGCCUUUUUUUUAUUUUCUUUUUUUUAGAGAAUCGGACACGUGGCUAUCUGUUAUUGGUUACAAGAAGAUAUUAUUUCCUCUCCUUAUCCUUCUUUCCUCGCCAGCUCAUGAGAGAGGGAGCAUAUCUAUUUUUUCCGUUGGGAGUGGUCCUUCUACGUGGCACAUGUGAAUGGAUAGAAACAAACUCUUUUUUCUUAAUUUCUUUAAUAAUACCAAAUUAGUUAACUUGUAGUUUCGAUUGGAUAACGAAAUGCAC
rnacentral:lncRNA from 1 species